AAUUGAAUGCAUUAAUUAAAGCAGAGGUACUAUGAUUUAUGUAAGGUUGCACUAAUUGUGCUUUCUCAGUGUGGAAAGACCGUUCAAUGAUAACUGAUGCUCAGCCAACCCUUGGUUAUGUCACAUAUAUGACAACUUGCUCUUUGUUGCAAGCUUCAGCUAGCCAACCAUUUGGGGCUCUCUUAUGCCCCUGUAGCUGAUGCAACCCAACCACCCAUCCUAAUCUUAUCAGAUGAUUCAGAUCCAGCAAGUGCCAGCAAAUUGCCUUAAACAUCAGUAAGUUCCAACAACAAUGUGCCGCUCUGCUACCAGAAAGCAAUGAUGACCCAAAAAGGAAGAACCAUUAUGUUGCACAAUCCAAGGGUGUGAAUACAACAUACUUCUUUAUUGCGCAACUCCAUCAACACGUAGCAGUUGGCCAUUAGAAUGACGUGGCGACGGGGCCCACGUCAGCAGAACUAGCCGUUCUGUGGCUUCUGUGUCACUCCGCAUUAGAGCUAAUGUACUGGAGGCCUCCACCUCGUGGAGCAUACAUAAGUAUAUAGUCGUUGGGAUCAGAGGAGAAAAACCAAGGGCCAAAAUUUGCAGGCGCGGGACUGGACCGUCCCACCCCCUUCUGCGUAAUGUUUUAAGUCCUCUCGGGACGAUUAAGUGGUUAGUACAUGAGCAAUAAUUGAGGAUUGAUUUCCAUCCAAAAAAAGAAUUCAUUGGAUCGAAUAAUUGAGCUCCACUACACCAACCAAGUUCAAUCUCUAUAUCUGUAAAGAAGUUGGGUAUGUUCAUUGCUCCAAAAGAGAUUGAACUUGGCACAAUCAAGACUCUCACCUCAAUUUUGCGGCCAUGACUGCCCAUCCAUCCCCAACAUACCUCGAUGCACUGAUGAAUGAGCUUGAAUUCCCAAUGAGUGCAUUGCAAAAUCAUGGAAGAGCCACUAAGCAAUGUAGCAUAAGCGUAGGGGAACAAACACAUGAUCAGUCCAAACCAUGUGCUUUGUAGGCUUGGGAGCUGAGGAACUCAUUCCAGCAGUACCUGCAGGAGAAGAUUCUGUGAAUUAGGCACGCAGGAGAUCUAUGAUUCGCUGGUGUUGCUGCUUCUUUUGCUUUGUACUCACUGCAGCUGAGUUCAUGUUUGAUUGCUUACUCCAAUGAAUUCUAAGAAACAAUGCUGUUUUUUUUUUCUGUUUUGAUUUAGACCAAGCACAUCUGCAGGAGAAAUAUUACUAUUCAGAAUUAGAUUAUCCAACAAAUGGAACUUCUCUCAGGAAGAAUUCAUACAAGAAACUUCAGAAAGAAAUCUAUAUUUAUAAGCAGACCCAAGUCCUUUGUGCAGUUAUUCAUUUACUGAACAUUAUCACUAGAAUUUGGAGGAAAAACACAUACCAAACAUGAGAUGUUUUCAUAGCCUUCUGGUUCUUGUUCUUCUUCUUCAGCUGCUUCUGGGAUGAGGGAAAUGGUAAAAUUGUGUUGUAUAGAUUCUGGAUCCAAUCUAAAUAUGGUAAAUGGUUAUUAUCUUGGAUUCUCUCUUGCAUGAUUGCAUUAAAUAGUUGUUUGACUUUCUCCAUAUCCAUGCAGUUUGUCAAUCUGCAAAUGCUAACUGUUUUUCACAUGGCAGCGGGCAGAGGAAGCAUGUCCAAAUCUGCAGAGGGAUAAUUAUUUAAAAAAAAUAUAUAUUUUGCAGAAACAAGAUAGUUUCUCAUGUGCUAUUGAUGCUUAUCGCAGGGUUUUUUA